AUGAAACAUUUAAAAAUAAAAUAAUUCCAAGAUUGAUUAAAUGUUCCAAUAAUAAAAUAUUUAAUAAAUAAUUAUGAUAAAAUAAAUGAAAGAUUAAAAAUGACAGCAUAUCAAUCGUGUUUAUUCUUACUAAAGAAUAAUUAACGUUCUGCCCGAUUUAACUCCGCAUAGUAUUUAAAUCCAGCGUUAAUCAAAAAUUUAUUUUAAAAAAUGUAAAUAUUAUUAUCUACUAAACAAAUACUCAACUUGUUUUUAAUUACGCACAAUACUUAAUACAUUCCAUAUUUUAAAUGUUAGAAUUAAGCGGAGGUUUAUCUAGUCAGGAUUUAAUAACCAUAUAACCGAUAAUCUAAUUAAUAAUUAAUAAUUAACAAUUAAUUAUGUAUAAUACACAUUUGUUAUUUAUAUUCUAAGCUUUUAAAAAACAAUCCAUUUAUUAUACAUAUAAAUAUUAUACUUACGCAUUCAUUUUUUUUUUUUUUGGGUAAAUGUCAUUAGUGUUUACCCAACAUUUAUUAUUUAUUUAAAUUUUUUUUUAUAAUUAAUAUACUUUUAAUAAUUAAGAAUGACUCAAGAUUCUAAAGCUUGUAAUUUAACGCCUGAAAAUGUUAAUCCAAAUGGCGAAAAUACUUUUCAACUUUCGAAGAAUAAAUUAAGUUCUAUGAGUUAUCUUAUUUCUUCAGAAGAUAUUUUAUCUGAUCCAAGAGUCAAAAAUUCUGAACAG